AUACCAUUAGACAAUGUUCGCAAAAGAAUUGCCGCCAUAACAGGUGUGUCGGAGAGUCGUGUGUUAUAAACAGACGGGUAGCGGUUAAAAACGUGGGCCAAGAUCCAAAGAAAUUGUACGCCUAACAGAAGAGGCGUCCGAGACUGUUACAGCGGAAGAUUGGGCAGUUCAAUGCAAACAUGUACAGCAUUUGGAG